rnacentral:misc_RNA from 1 species
AACCUUAUGGACCUGCGGGCGUAUACCUGCGGAGGGAUCAUUAACGAAUUCAUCGGAGUUGUGCUGGUUCUUACAAGUGCACGCUCCUUACAAUUCCAUUCACACCCCUUGUGCACUCUAAGAGACGUAUCUCCCCCGUUUACGUGCCUUCGUUGGCUUGGGAUUUCGUCUGUUUAACACACACUCUUAUUGUAAUAGAAUGUAAUCUGGCUGAAAGGCCUUAAACUUAAAUAUAACUUU